rnacentral:rRNA from 1 species
UCGGCAUUGGAAUGAGUACAAUCUAAAUCCUUUAACGAGGAACAAUUGGAGGGCAAGUUCUGGUGCCAGCAGCCGCGGUAAUUCCAGCUCGAAUAGCGUAUAUUAAAGUUGUUGCAGUUAAAAAGCUCGUAGUUGGAUAUCAGGAGAUGAUUCACGGACUUCUUAAUGGAGCAACCGUGUUUUCGCUCCUCUUUGUACCGUUUCAUCGUCGAUGCACUUUAUUGUGUGUCACGUUUGAACGGCCUUUUUACUUUGAGAAAAUUAGCGUGCUUAACGCAGGCGUUACAGCUUGUAUAAUGUUGCAUGGAAUAAUGAAAUAGGACCUCGGUUCUGUUUUGUUGGUUUCCGGAAGCUGAGGUAAUGAUUAAUAGGGACAGACGGGGGCAUUCGUAUUGUGGUGUUAGAGGUGAAAUUCUUGGAUCACCGCCAGACGAACAACUGCGAAAGCAUUUGCCAAGAAUGUUUUCAUUAAUCAAGAACGAAAGUUAGAGGUUCGAAGACGAUUAGAUACCGUCCUAGUUCUAACUAUAAACUAUGCCAACUGGGGAUCCGUCGAUUGCCAUUUGUAGGCUCGGCGGGCACCCUACGGGAAACCAAAGUGAACAGGUUCCGGGGGGAGUAUGGUUGCAAAAUCGAAACUUAAAGGAAUUGACGGAGGGGCACACCAGAAGUGGAGCCUGCGGCUCAAUUUGACUCAACGCACGAAAACUUACCCGGCCCGAACACCGUGAGGAUUGACAGAUUGACAGCUCUUUCUUGAUUCGGUGGGUGGUGGUGCAUGGCCGUUCGUAGUUGGUGGAGCGAUUUGUCUGGUUUAUUCCGAUAACGAACGAGACUCUAGCCUAUUAAUUAGGGUGCCGAUUCAAUUAGUCGGCAUUGUUAAACUUCUUAGAGGGACAGGUGCUUCUUAAGCACACGAAGAGGAGCAAUAACAGGUCUGUGAUGCCCUUAGAUGUUCGGGGCUGCACGCGCGCUACAAUGGAGGGCUCAGAAAGCAUAUCGAUUUCGACAGAAAUCGGGAAUCAAAAAUAGCCUUCUUGAUUGGGAUCGGAGAUUGUAAUUAUUCUUCGUCAACGAGGAAUUCCUAGUAAACGCGAAUCAUUAUUUCGUGUUGAUUAAGUCCCUGCCCUUUGUACACACCGCCCGUCGCUACUACCGAUUGAAUGGCUUAGUGAGGUCUACGGAUAGGCUACAAGGUAGCCAUCAGCUCUGUUGUAUUACCUAAAAGUUGGCCGAACUUUAC